CGGCACCACCCAGGGGAGCCCCCAGCAGCAGGGGGACCCCCAGCCAGAGUGGUCCCCCCCGGCCCGUGCCCAGCACGGGGGGCUGUGGCGCGGGGCAGGUCUGAGCCCCUCCGUGCAGGGACAGCAGCUCAGCCAAAGCUUAGGAGCAGCACUGCCGCCCCCCGACCCGCGCACCCCGUGCCAGGGCCACCACUGCUGCCAGCACCGCCCCAGCAGCCGCCCCCCCCACCCAGUGCCAUCCCCAAGCCCCCCGGCCGGGCUGGGACAUCAGGGACUGCAGCAGGUGGGAGGGGAGCCCCCCGGACCAGCACAGCUGCACCCAGAGGUGCAGCCCUCG